rnacentral:rRNA from 1 species
UACGUAGGGGGCGAGCGUUGUCCGGAUUUAUUGGGCGUAAAGAGCGUGUAGGCGGCCAGGUAGGUCUGCUGUGAAAACUCGAGGCUCAACCUCGAGACGUCGGCGGAAACCAUCUGGCUAGAGUCCGGAAGAGGAGAGUGGAAUUCCUGGUGUAGCGGUGAAAUGCGCAGAUAUCAGGAAGAACACCCGUGGCGAAGGCGGCUCUCUGGGGACGGUACUGACGCUGAGACGCGAAAGCGUGGGGAGCGAACAGG